rnacentral:rRNA from 1 species
CGCGUAGGCGGGAUGGCAAGUCAGAUGUGAAAUCCAUGGGCUCAACCCAUGAACUGCAUUUGAAACUGUCGUUCUUGAGUAUCGGAGAGGCAAGCGGAAUUCCUAGUGUAGCGGUGAAAUGCGUAGAUAUUAGGAGGAACACCAGUGGCGAAGGCGGCUUGCUGGACGACAACUGACGCUGAGGCGCGAAGCGUGGGAGCAAACA